UACGUAGGGAGCAAGCGUUGUUCGGAUUUACUGGGCGUAAAGGGCGCGUAGGCGGCAGAUUAAGUCAGCUGUGAAAUCUCCGAGCUUAACUCGGAACUGUCAGCUGAUACUGUUUUGCUAGAGUGCGGAAGGGGCAAUCGGAAUUCUUGAUGUAGCGGUGAAAUGCGUAGAUAUCAAGAGGAACACCUGAGGUGAAGACGGGUUGCUGGGCCGACACUGACGCUGAGUGCGCGAAAGCCAGGGGAGCAAACGGG
rnacentral:rRNA from 1 species